AGCACUCCUACGGGAGGCAGCAGUGGGGAAUAUUGCACAAUGGGCGCAAGCCUGAUGCAGCCAUGCCGCGUGUAUGAAGAAGGCCUUCGGUUGUAAAGUACUUUCAGCAGUGAGGAAGGUGGAUAUGUUAAUAGCAUAUUCAUUUGACGUUUAGCUGCAGAAGAAGCACCAGCUAACUCCGUGCCAGCAGCCGCGGUAAUACGGAGGGUGCGAGCGUUAAUCGGAAUUACUGGGCGUAAAGCGCAUGCAGGUGGUUUGUUAAGUCAGAUGUGAAAGCCCGGGGCUCAACCUCGGAAUUGCAUUUGAAACUGGCAAACUAGAGUACUGUAGAGGGGGUAGAAUUUCAGGUGUAGCGGUGAAAUGCGUAGAGAUCUGAAGGAAUACCGGUGGCGAAGGCGGCCCCCUGGACAGAUACUGACACUCAGAUGCGAAAGCGUGGGGAGCAAACAGGAUUAGAUACCCUGGUAG
rnacentral:rRNA from 1 species